rnacentral:rRNA from 1 species
AUUGAACGCUGGCGGCAUGCUUUACACAUGCAAGUCGAACGGCAGCGGGGAGGAGCUUGCUUCUCUGCCGGCGAGUGGCGAACGGGUGAGUAAUACAUCGGAACGUGUCGAGAAGAGGGGGAUAACCACCCGAAAGGGUGGCUAAUACCGCAUAAAUUCUGAGGAAGAAAGCUGGGGACCUAGGAAUAGGCCUAGCGCUUUUUGAGCGGCCGAUGUCGGAUUAGCUAGUUGGUGAGGUAAAGGCUCACCAAGGCGAAGAUCUGUAGCGGGUCUGAGAGGAUGAUCCGCCACACUGGGACUGAGACACGGCCCAGACUCCUACGGGAGGCAGCAGUGGGGAAUUUUGGACAGUGGGGGCAACCCUGAUCCAGCCAUGCCGCGUGUAUGAAGAAGGCCUUAGGGUUGUAAAGUACUUUUGUUAGGGAAGAAAAGUCAGCUGUGAAUAAUGGCUGAUACUGACGGUACCUAAAGAAUAAGCACCGGCUAACUACGU